AACCCACUCACAUCUUCCCCUCCCCUGCCUUCCCUACCGCAAGUUCCCUCCGACCAGAGGCCAAUCCCGCUGCGGUGCCCCGGACCCACCCUCUGCACCAGCCUUCCUUCUUGUUUCCUAAAAGCUCGCGUUUUCUGUGGGCUUCCAAGGCUGCUCUUCAGUAUCUUUACGUCAGAGCCUCCCAGCUCCUUCCCCUCUCUCAAAAGCGUUUUCACAGGGACUGUAGGCUCCUUCUCUCCCCUUGAUAACCAAGUACUGUGCCCCAGGUUCUUACCUCACAGCCCAAAGUUGUCCUAAGUCAGGCCCUGACCUGAGUGUCUCCAAAUCCAACAGGCCGUCUGCUCUCCUGUGACAUGCAGCAUCCCACGGCUUUUCCUAAAACACCCCCUCUGUCAGCUUUGCUGUCACCCACCCUCCAGGGCUCUCUCUUACAGGUCUGCCCUUUGCUAGCAUCUUAGCCUCUCCACCUCCCGGUGGUCCUGUCUGCGAUGGACCCCCUCCAUGUGUCCCAAGGCCCUCCAAAGGAACAGGUCUGUAUCAGGUGCAAUUGGAUUGAGUUGCAAUGCAAGGGCUUGAAUUGCAGAGAGGUUCAUUUUUCUUUUUGUAGAAAAGUCUGGGACCAGCUGUCAGAGACUGAUUUGGCCACUCCAUGGUCACCAGGACCAGGCUGUGUCCAUCUUUUCUGUUCUGACCUUUUUCACAUGGGCCAUUGUCCAUGUCACCGCUGGUCACCAGCUGCAGCAGUCGCAUUCUUGCUCCGGGCAGCAGGAAGAAGGUGAGACCAGAAGGCAGAGGGGGCUGGUCCUGCCUGGUCAGCCCCCAGGGGGCUUUGCCCAGACACCCCUUCCCCACCCAUGGCUCUGCUGAUUUCUCUAUAGCUGCCACCCUCUGAAAAGGGAGCUGGCAGAGUAGUUCUUAGACAUGGCACCUGGCCACCUCUGUGGCUGAAGAAGAAGGGGGUUGAGGAUUGGGGUACACACCUGACAGUCUCCAUGCAAUGCCCCAAAGUGAACCACUGACCCCACACCACGCUGUUCUCCUCUGAGUUUUCUCACCUCUGUCCAAAUGGCUGCAGAAGCCAAAAGCCCCAGAGCCCAGCUCCCCUUCCCUCCUUUCUCCCCCAUCCCAUCUUCCAUCCUUCCAUCCUUCCAUGAGCCUGCCCCUCAUCCUCCUCAGGGCUGGAACUGGCUGCCGGAUUCCUCCCUGGCUCCGUGGGGGCUGGCUCAGCAAUCUGAGCUGCCCAUGACUCUCUGGUCCAGCUGGGAGGAUUCAUGCCCCAUUGGGGUUGAGAGGAAUGAGGGAUGGCUGAGAUCCAAGACCUCAAAAACACGCCGCCGUCUGGAGGGUGUGAGAGCCAGGUCCGUCCUCAGCAUGGACGCUGCAGUGCACACUGUUCCAUGCCAGGUGCUGGCUGACCCUGCCCUGGGGGAGGUGAUGGACAGGCACAGAGGGGGAGCCCCGCAAACAAGGGGCCCUGUUACAGCAGAGUGGGAGAGCGCCUGAUAGGACGCCAAGCACCGUGGCCGGGCUGCAGAGAGGCCUGCGGGGCUUGUAGACAAGACGUCAUGGAGAAGGCGGAGCUCCCAUGGGCCUUGCAGGUUUCACCAAGCAAGAGCGGAGAAGACACAGGCUGGACAAAGGAAGGUGGACGGGACAGCCAGCCGUGCAGCAGCCUCACAGGACACAGCUGCAUCCUCUGAUCUGACAGAAAGGAAUAUGCGCUCCCACCCCAGAGCCAGCAGCUCCCCAGCGCUCUCCCCGCCCCCGCCCGCAGAAACCAGGACUUCAUCUCUUUGAUGUAUCGGUCGCUUCCCCUGGCACCUAAGCUUGCCUGAAAGUUGGGAAUAUGAUGACUCACCGUA